AGCACUGGAUUGCAUUCUGAACGGCUGCUGCAACCUUCAUGUACCGUUCUACGUUUGGGUCCUGUUCCUCAAAAGCUAACAGUGCAUGUUCGCGUCUUUGAAAGUUCGUAACUUGAAGCAGCUGUUUGGCCGCUGCAGUUUUCAGGAUUACUGCCUGCUGAUGAUGCUGAUUGAAAGUACAGGCUAUGCCCUGAUCUUGAAAUCCUGCAGCUGUUUGUGGUCAAGGCUAUUGCAUACAAUGAACAUUCAAGUUUGGACUUUAAGUAUAUCUUCUUUUUAUUAGUUGCAAACUAUAAACUUGAAAUAUUGUGCUUAAAAAGUGGUGUUUGAAUAAACCAGGUUUUGUAGAUUAUCCUGAUCAUUAAGAUAUGUUGAAUAAAAGGAAAUAUUUCUUUUGUUGGGCAGGGCUAAGUAGCCAGAUUAGAUACUUAUCUUUUAUGUGAGAUUAUAUAAAGUAGCACGCAGAAUAUAUUUGAUUACUGUUCAAAUUUUUCACUUUAUAUUAAUGUUGAAAUUAAUUUGAACUGACUAAUAAGCUAAUAAUAAAAUAUCCAUCAAAAAUAAAUAAUUUUAAUUAAAUACUCUCAUGUUCCAGCUGAUGUUAUUGAAUAUUCUUUUCCCCUAAAAAUCGACUAAACUGGAAAUACUUUU